AGAAAAGUCNCNUUCGCCANNGGUGUUCCUCCAUAUNUUUACGCAUUUNNNCGCUACACANAGAAUUCCACUNUCCUCUUCUGCACUCAAGUCUCCCAGUUUCCAAUGACCCUCCACGGNUGAGCCGUGGGCUUUCACAUCAGACUUAAGAAACCACCUGCGCGCGCUUUACGCCCAAUAAUUCCGGAUAACGCUUGCCACCUACGUAUUACCGCGGCUGCUGGCACGUAGUUAGCCGUGGCUUUCUGGUUAGGUACCGUCAAGGUGCCAGCUUAUUCAACUAGCACUUGUUCUUCCCUAACAACAGAGUUUUACGACCCGAAAGCCUUCAUCACUCACGCGGCGUUGCUCCGUCAGACUUUCGUCCAUUGCGGAAGAUUCCCUACUGCUGCCUCCCGUAGGAGUCUGGGCCGUGUCUCAGUCCCAGUGUGGCCGAUCACCCUCUCAGGUCGGCUACGCAUCGUUGCCUUGGUGAGCCGUUACCUCACCAACUAGCUAAUGCGACGCGGGUCCAUCCAUAAGUGACAGCCGAAGCCGCCUUUCAAUUUCGAACCAUGCGGUUCAAAAUGUUAUCCGGUAUUAGCCCCGGUUUCCCGGAGUUAUCCCAGUCUUAUGGGCAGGUUACCCACGUGUUACUCACCCGUCCGCCGCUAACUUCAUAAGAGCAAGCUCUUAAUCCAUUCGCUCGANNNCANGUAUG
rnacentral:rRNA from 1 species